rnacentral:rRNA from 1 species
UGCAUCGAUGAAGAACGUAGCGAAAUGCGAUACNUGGUGUGAAUUGCAGAAUCCCGNGAACCAUCGAAACUUUGAACGCAAGUUGCGCCUCAAGCCAUUNGGUUGAGGGCACGUNUGCUUGGGUGUCAUGC